GAUGAACGCUCGCGAUAGGCUUAACACAUGCAAGUCGAGGGGUAACGUGUUGGAAGCUUGCUUCCGAUGACGACGACCGGCGGAUGGGUGCGUAACGCGUAUGCAACUUGCCUCACAGUGGAGAAUAACCCGGAGAAAUCCGGACUAAUACUCCAUACACUCUUAAGUACGCCUGUACAUGAGAGGAAAGAUUUAUCGCUGUGAGAUAGGCAUGCGUCCUAUUAGGUAGUUGGUGAGGUAACGGCUCACCAAGCCGACGAUAGGUAGGGGUGCUGAGAGGCAGAUCCCCCACAUUGGGACUGAGACACGGCCCAAACUCCUACGGGAGGCAGCAGUGAGGAAUAUUGGUCAAUGGAGGAAACUCUGAACCAGCCAAGUCGCGUGAAGGAAGAAUGUCCUAAGGAUUGUAAACUUCUUUAGCGAGCGAGUAAGGACUUCCAAGUGAUGGGAGUUUGAAAGUAGCUCGAGAAUAAGUAUCGGCUAACUCCGUG
rnacentral:rRNA from 1 species